rnacentral:lncRNA from 1 species
UUAGUUACGCACUCCGUCUAUAAAAAGGGACCCCCAGAUACGUUCUUCUCUAAGCUCAAAAGCUCUAUCUCAAAACUCUGCUAAAAUUUCCACUCGAGCACUCCAUUUCUGUUAAAGCAGAGUACUGACUUGAGCGUCGGAGGGUCUUGCCGGAGCACCCCCAACUCCGGUUUAGACUUUCUUUGCAGGUCCCGACGGCGGCCGCGG